UACAGAACCUCCCUCCAAGUGGUGAAUAGCCUUCCGAAAGGAAGAUUAAUACACCGUAAUAUUAUGAAGUGGCAUCACUUUAUAAUUAUAGAUUUAUCGCUUAGAGAUGGCUGUGCGGCUGAUUAGGUAGUUGGCGGGGUAAUAGCCCACCAAGCCUGCGAUCAGUAACUGGUGUGAGAGCACGACCAGUCACACGGGCACUGAGACACGGGCCCG
rnacentral:rRNA from 1 species